GUGUGUAGACAGUAGUUAUAUAGGAUGGUGUGUAUAGACGGUAUAGACAGCAUAGACAGUAGUUAUAUAGGAUGGUGUGUGUAGACAGUAGUUAUAUAGGAUGGUGUGUAUAGACAGUAUAGACAGUAGUUUUAUAGGAUGGUGUGUAUAGACAGUAUAGACAGUAGUUAUAUAGGAUGGUGUGUGUAGACACUAGUUAUAUAGGAUGGUGUGUAUAGACAGUAUAGACAGUAGUUAUAUAGGAUGGUGUGUAUAGACAGUAGUUUUAUAGGAUGGUGUGUAUAGACAGUAGUUAUAUAGGAUGGUGUGUAUAGACAGUAGUUAUAUAGGAUGGUGUGUAUAGACAGUAGUUAUAUAGGAUGGUGUGUAUAGACAGUAUAGACAGUAAUUAUACAGGAUGGUGUGUAUAGACAGUGUAGACAGUAGUUAUAUAGGAUGGUGUGUAUAGACAGUGUAGACAGUAGUUAUAUAGAAUGGUGUGUAUAGACAGUAUAGACAGUAGUUAUAUAGGAUGGUGUGUAUAGACAGUGUAGACAGUAGUUACAUAGGAUGGUGUGUAUAGACAGUAGUUAUAUAGGAUGGUGUGUAUAGACAGUAGUUAUAUAGGAUGGUGUGUAUAGACAGUAGUUAUUUAGGAUGGUCUGUAUAGACAGUGUAGACAGUAGUUAUAUAGGAUGGUGUGUAUAGACAGAAUAGACAGUAGUUAUAUAGGAUGGCGUGUAUAGACAGUAGUUAUAUAGGAUGGUGUGUAUAGACAGUAGUUAUAUAGAAUGGUGUGUAUUGACAGUAGUUAUACAGGAUGGUGUUUAUAGACAGUAGUUAUAUAGGAUGGUGUGUAUAGACAGUAGAUAUAUAGGAUGGUGGGUAUAGACAGUAUAAACAGUAGUUAUAUAGGAUGGUGUGUAUAGACAGUAUAGACAGUAGUUAUAUAGGAUGGUGUGUAUAGACAGUAGUUAUAUAGGAUGGUGUGUAUAGACAGUAUAGACAGUAGUUAUAUAGGAUGGUGUGUAUAGAAAGUAGUUAUAUAGGAUGGUGUGUAUAGACAGUAUAGACAGUAGUUAUAUAGGAUGGUGUGUGUAUAUACAGUAGUUAUAUAGGAUGGUGUGUAUAGAUAGUAGUUAUAUAGGAUGGUGUGUGUAGACAGUAGUUAUAUAGGAUGGUGUGUAUAGACAGUAUAGACAGUAGUUAUAUAAGAUGGUGUGUAUAGACAGUAGUUAUAUAGGAUGGUGUGUAUAGACAGUAUAGACAGUAGUUAUAUAGGAUGGUGUGUAUAGAUAGUAGUUAUAUAGGAUGGUGUGUAUAGACAGUAGUUAUAUAGGAUGGUGUGUAUAAACAGUAGUUAUAUAGGAUGGUGUGUGUAGACAGUAGUUAUAUAGGAUGGUGUGUGUAGACAGUAGUUAUAUAGGAUGGUGUGUAUAGACAGUAGUUAUAUAGGAUGGUGUGUGUAG
ensembl:lncRNA